UGGGUGUGUGGGUGUGUGCAUAUGUGUGUGCGUGCGCGCGCGCACACACACACACACACACACACACAGUUA
rnacentral:miRNA from 1 species